rnacentral:rRNA from 1 species
UGGGGAAUCUUGGACAAUGGGGGCAACCCUGAUCCAGCAAUGCCGCGUGUGGGAUGAAGGCCUUCGGGUUGUAAACCACUUUUGGCGGGGGCGAAAUAUCGAGUGCUAAUACCAUUCGGUGAUGACGGUACCCGCAGAAUAAGCACCGGCUAACUACGUGCCAGCAGCCGCGGUAAUACGUAGGGUGCAAGCGUUAAUCGGAAUUACUGGGCGUAAAGCGUGCGCAGGCGGUUAGGUAAGACAGGUGUGAAAUUCCCGGGCUCAACCUGGGAACUGCAUUUGCGACUGCCUGACUAGAGUGCGGCAGAGGGGAGUGGAAUUCCGCGUGUAGCAGUGAAAUGCGUAGAUAUGCGGAGGAACACCGAUGGCGAAGGGCAACUCCCUGGGCCUGCACUGACGCUCAUGCACGAAAAGCGUGGGGAGCAAACAGGAUUAGAUACCCUGGUAGUCCACGCCCUAAACGAUGUCGACUAGUUGUUGGACGGGUUACUGUUCAGUAACGAAGCUAACGCGUGAAGUCGA